rnacentral:ncRNA from 1 species
GAUCGAGAGUGCGAGGAAUACAAUACCGCAAGGGAAUAACUCCGCUAGAGUUUCGACUAGUUUUGAGCUCUCGAUCACCCUAAU